rnacentral:pre_miRNA from 1 species
AGAUAUGUUUGAUAUAUUUGGUGGUUGAUGUGCUAUGCUACCAAUUGUCAGACAUGUCGAG